CCGCUGCUUGGGCAGUGCUAGGUGGGGGCUCCCUGCCCCUCCCCGCCGCCCGGGGCCGACGUUCGGAUGAGGCGCUGGGCAGAGCCCGGACGGGGUUACUCCCCUCCCCCCCGGCUCGCGACCGCCAGGCGUUUGCUGCGUCGCGCGCCUGCUCUCGGCGGUUCUACGGCAGCCGCGCAGGGACCGGGAGGCGGCGGGCGCCAGCGGACGGAGACAGGAUGCAAGAGAGAAAACACAUUCUUCUCUGAGACUGGAGGGCCAGGACUGAAGUCCAGGAUCAAUGCCAAAAAGCACUGCUAAACCAAGAGAAAAGCUGCUGACCAUACUGCUUUGUUUGACCAAGAGGAGAAGCCAGAGAGCACGGACAGGAUGCGUACCAGCGGAAAAAGUGAACAGGACAUGUAUUUCACUGACAGUCCCUUUGAAAGAAUCUGACCUUUCUAUGAUUUCUCAAAGUCAGCUUUUGAAGUUACUACUGCAAUUGUCUCAAAAGCUACUGUUUUUGGUUUAAACUGAAAACUAGAAUCCCUGGCUGCAAUGUAUUUGUAUUAAGUUUGUGAGUUCUUCUGAGGCAGCGAACUUGUUUUCUAUCUUAGGGGUUCUUAAACAUUAAAUAGAGCGGGUCACACUUUAAUAGUUUCUCUCACUGUCCAUGUCCUCUCUAGUCAUGUCUGCAUAGGCCACCUUCCUUUACACUAGCAAUCACAUAACAUCCCUGUGGCAACCACAGCAAUUCCUUCCCUUGAACAGGAAUAUUAAGUGAGUAAUAUUUGGAGCUGUUUUUAUUGAUAGUUACCAGCUGGAAAUAGAGAGCCAGCAUUGACCAGCCAGCUCCCCCUCGAUCACCAGCAAGCCAUCUACUUUGGGUACUUAAUAAUAAAAAGGUUACAGAGCACUAUAAUGGGAACCAGACUCAGUAUUAGGUAUGCUAUACAAAGCCAUUAAGCUAUAUUGUUAGCACAACAUAAAGCUCAUACAAUGUGUUAACGAUGCUCAAAUCAAGUAGAAAACACAUUUGCAAA